UACAUUUUCUGCAAAUACUGUCCGGGAGAUGUGAACUCUCUCCCUUCAUUUAGGAUAUCAGAGGAGGGAGCAGGGGAGGGGAGCAGGUUCAGCGAGCUCAGCUCAGGGUAAAUGCUUCAGUAAGCGCUUUAUGUUGCUUCCCGGGGAACAGGGCAAUAUCCAUUCUGAGGAUGGAGCUCAGUCUGACUGCGGACCACUAACAGCCCAAGUCCGAGCCGGUGGCCUCAGGAUCCCAGAGAGUUACAAAUCACCCCUCAGAACUGCUUUCUGGAAUUUGUGCCCUCCUGAGGCUUAUUUACCCACGGCCGACCUCGUGAUCUGACACGUGGACACCCUGAUGAUAUGCUCAAUGACCACAUUUGAUGCGGGCACUGAAGUCCCACUCGGGCUAUUGGCAUGGGAUGCAGCGACGCCCCCCAACGAAGGCGACACAGAACCGGGGGCUGUUCCCCUACCUCAUUCCUCACAGCCCCUCACGGGGGGCCCCACCUGGGCUUGGAGCCCUCCGGAAAAGGGGUUUCCACCCUCCUCCACCAUUCACUAUUUCUGAGCUCAAAACAUCAAAAUAAAGCAAUUCUAAUUUUACAUAUGAA